UUUGUUAAACUUGGGGCAAUGACGCAGUUAGUGAAGUUCUAAUCGAGACACGUCUAUUGCUGGUUGAAAACUAUUUCCAAACGUUACCCCUCUUUGGUCUGGGCUUGAUUUGUGCUGUCGAGAAUUUUUCGAAGGGCUCCAAUUUUGGGUUAGGCC